UAAUACGUAGGGGGCAAGCGUUGUCCGGAAUCAUUGGGCGUAAAGCGCGCGUAGGCGGCCCGAUAAGUCUGCUGUGAAAGUCCAGGGCUCAACCCUGGAAUGCCGGUGGAUACUGUCGGGCUAGAGUUCGGAAGAGGCAAGUGGAAUUCCUGGUGUAGCGGUGGAAUGCGCAGAUAUCAGGAGGAACACCUAUAGCGAAGGCAGCUUGCUGGGACGACACUGACGCUAAGGCGCGAAAGCGUGGGGAGCGAACAGGAUUAGAUACCCUGGUAGUCCACGCCGUAAACGAUGGGCACUAGGUGUGGGGGGUGUCGACUCCCCCCGUGCCGCCGCUAACGCAUUAAGUGCCCCGCCUGGGGAGUACGGCCGCAAGGCUA
rnacentral:rRNA from 1 species